UUAGGUUUAGUUCCUUCCUUCACCGAUUAAUAAAAAUCUUAGUUUUAGUUCCCUUCUUUAAAAAAUGCAAAAAAAAAUUCUCUCUUCUUUUGAUACUAUUCUUCUUUCCCUCUUAAUAACUCGAGAAGCCUAACAAUUCUAAGCUAACACUAAUGCCCACAACUAACCUAAUGGUUCACGUUGAGUAUAACAGACGCGAGGGGUACAAAUACCUUCCCCUUGUGUAAUUGACUCCCGAAACCUGAUUUGGUUGCGACGACCAAC
rnacentral:lncRNA from 1 species